GACGAACGCUGGCGGCGUGCUUAACACAUGCAAGUCGAACGGAAAGGCCCUGCUUUUGUGGGGUGCUCGAGUGGCGAACGGGUGAGUAACACGUGAGUAACCUGCCCUUGACUUUGGGAUAACUUCAGGAAACUGGGGCUAAUACCGGAUAGGAGCUCCUGCUUCAUGGUGGGGGUUGGAAAGUUUCGGCGGUUGGGGAUGGACUCGCGGCUUAUCAGCUUGUUGUUGGGGUAGUGACUUACCAAGGCUUUGACGGGUAGCCGGCCUGAGAGGGUGACCGGACACAUUGGGACUGAGAGACGGCCCAGACUCCUACGGGAGGAAGAAGUGGGGAAUAUUGCAAAAUGGGCGGAAGCAUGAUGCAGCAACGCCGCGUGCGGGAUGACGGACUUCGGGUUGUAAACCGCUUUCGCCUGUGACGAAGCGUGAGUGACGGUAAUGGGUAAAGAAGCACCGGCUAACUACGUG
rnacentral:rRNA from 1 species